GCCUCCCAAAGUGCUGGGAUUACAGGCGUGAGCCACUGUGCCCAGCCCCCCCCCCUUUUUUUUUUAAGCAUUUUCUCAGCAGACUAGCUAAGGACAAUAGAUGGCAUGUCCUGACACCCAUGGGGCACUCUGGGUGUUGGGGCAGAAACUUGAGAGGGAAUGAGCUUCUGCAUUGGUCCCUUUCCUGCUGAAGGUGUCUCCCAGUAGUGUCCAUCCCAUCCCAUUUCCAUCCCCAGUUCCUCUUACCCGGAAGCUGUUACAGCCCAGUCCGCUCUGGGCUCCAAUCCUGUCCAUCCUGCCCCCGAAGCAGCUGGAUCUCCGCAGGCUCCGAGGGGCAGUGAGCAGCGCCCUCAGCUUGCUUUUUAGGAGGGCAGCUCCAUCUCUCUGGGCUGGGCUGACUUCCCCGGUCCAGGGAGGCACCUCAGGGAGGGGGCUGAGAGCAGCCCCCGCUUCUUCAUUCGGCUCACUGAGCACUUGUGGGGGCACGACCUCAUCUUCUAAAGGCAUCUUUUCUUCCAAAUGGUCCAGCAAAUUCUUUAGAAAAGGAAACUUGAAAUCCAUCAGGUCUGCGUUGGACACGGCAUUGUACAUGGGAUUAGCUCUGGUCUGACCUAGGAGCUGGAAUGCCAGUAAAAGGAGGAAGCUCACGGUGGUGGUGGAGAAGGAGCUCAUGCUGGCGUCGUCAAGGAGCAAUCCACUGCUUGCUGCUCUGUCUCUCCCCUCUGGUUCCUCUCUGGUUCCCCUCUCUUGGCCUACGUCUGUCCCUGUCUCCCAGCUGCCCAGUGCCGCCUCUUUUUAUAGCCCCCCAGCUCUCCAAGCACGCAGGAGAGACAGAACCCUCCCCAUUCUGUCACUUGCAGUGAUAAAGCUGCCAAGUGAGAAGCCAGCAGGAGAUGCCCUUUUAAAGUUAUCAUCCCGCAGGGCUUGUCACAGCCCCUCUCUGCCUUGGGCAGCCCCAACAGCCCCCCAGACCCUCAGCUGCAAGAGCCGCAUUCUUACUGAUUUGACUCAAGAGGCUCCCACUUCAAAGGUGUGAGAAGAGUAAAAAAGAGUCCUUGGUUAUCUCACCGCCGUGCCUCAGGAUUCUUUCUCCUCGACGCUGGUACCCGUGCGGGGAAACAGAGGGUGACGCUUGGC
rnacentral:lncRNA from 1 species